rnacentral:lncRNA from 1 species
GACAUCUUAGAAAUUCAAUGCUCUGAGUAGUUGGCUAGCCUGGGGUCGGGGUUGACUUGCUUCAUCUUUAAAUUUCCGAAAUUGUCUACCAAACUUUUUCUUGGAAAGAAGACUGUAUGUAGCAGGGCAGUAAACAAGCCAACAUGUGCCCAGUGAGGUGGAUAAUGAAAGAUGACUUUCAGUUGUAAACAUCUUAAGUUCUGAAUUGGAAGCUUAGAAUAUUUUCUUAAAACAGAGCUUGCUCCUGUCAUAUUCCAUUAUUUUAAUCAUGUGACAUUUCCUUUUUUUCUUUAAGAAUCGUUUGUCUCAUUACUUUCCAAUAUACUAUGUGCAUAUGUCAUUAAUGUGGGUGAUUUAUAAAAGUAAAAAUUAAUGAGAAACAUUUCUUACCAAAAUACAGUCUAAAUUUUACUGUUCAGAUUGUUUCUACCUCUAUGCAAAUAAAUGUUUUAUUACAGAGAAUGCUUCUUUAGACAAUGUCAUUCUCCCAGACUCCACCUGUUGGAAUUUAUUCGUAUUUUAUGGCCCAGAUUAAAUUUCAAUUAUUCCAUGAAAUUCUACCUGAUAGGUUCUUGUUUUCUCUCCACCAUUCCCAUCCCAUAUAGCUAACUCUAUGGCAGCUACUAGAGUUUUUGUAUACUAGAUUAAUAGAACUAGAAGAUAUUGCUAAUUGAUGUAUUUUCUAAGCUCAUACUGUAUACUAUUCAUUUUACCUAUAUUAAAUACAUUAGACACACAUUUAAAUACAUUAGACAUAAUAUAGUAUUAUUCAUAUUUAAAAAAAUAAAAAAAAGAAAUCCAUAGACGUUAAGAAACUUUAUGAAAUGUCACAGAGCUUGUAUGCCAUGAUACCUGGAUUUAAAUCUAAAGUGCUUAUGUCCUUUAUCUUAUUCCAUAUUUAUCAAUUUAUAUUUCAGUAUGCUCUGGGUACAUAGAGGACGAAUAUCUUACCAAAUAGAGGGAAGAAAAUAAGUUUAUCCAUGGAGUUUUUCUGGAAGUUGAGAAAUGUACAGACUUAUUAAGGGGCUAUAUUGUUUCACAGUCAUCCUUGGAUAUCCUGCAAUGUCUAACACAAUAUCUUGUGAGUAGCAGGUGCUUAAUAAAUACUCUCUGACUCAUAUCAAAAGGUGCUGUUUUUCUCCCCCUGUUUUUCACAAAGAUGUUUGAAGUUUUAUUUCCAUUUGAGCAUUUCUCUAUAUACAUUGAUUAAUAUGCAUUUUCAGUCUUGUAGAAAAUGCCAACUGAGGUUAACAACUGCCCCGGUUGUUAUCUUUGUACCCCCAAGCAACUCAAGUAACCUAUUGUAGAUAUAGUCAAUUGGCACUCAGUAUUCAUCCCAACCACUUUCUGGUGUGCAAUCCUAUAUUACAGAGGCUGGAAAUUUAAAAAUAAUUUAUAAACAACAGUAAGAUAGCACUACCUAUUAGACUGAUUAAAAUCUGAAAAUUGAGAAUUAACAAUUACUGACAAGAAUGUAGACAGAAACCCUUAUUUAUUUAUUUAUUUUUUGCGGGAAUGCAAAAUGUUAUGGCUACAUUAGAAGGCAAUUUGGCAGUUUCUUAUAAAUUCAACAUUAUCUUACCAUAUGACCCAACAUUCCCAUGCUCCUAUGUAUUUAUGCAAGGUAAUUGAAAACUUAAGUCUACAAAAAAAACUGAAAAUAAAACCUAUUAGUAGUAUUUUUAUUCUUUAUUACCAAAAACUGGAAGCAACCAGGAUAUCCUUUAGUAGGUGAGUGAAAUUGGAGGUAUUGAAUGCUAUUCAAUAAUAAAUAGGAAUGAACUAUCUAUGAAAUGGACUGCCACUGAGUAAUAAAAAAGAAUAAACUAUCAAUCCACAUAAAAAUCACUGAAUCUUAAAUGCAUAUUUCUAAG